GAUGAACGCUGGCGGCGUGCCUAAUACAUGCAAGUCGCGCGAAGCGGGGACGGGUGAGUAACACGUGGAUCACCUACUAUAAGACUGGGAUAACUUCGGGAAACCGGAGCUAAACCGGAUACUUAUAGAUGUAUCCAAGGUUCUUUAUCUAGGUGGUAAGGUAACGGCUUACAAAGGCAACGAUGCAUAGCCGACCUGAGAGGGUGAUCGGCCAAGCUGGAACGGGGACACGGUCCAGACGCCUACGGGAGGCAGCAGUAGGGAAGCAUCCGCAAUGGGCGAAAGCCUGACGGAGCAACGCCGCGUUAUUGAUGAAGGUCUGCGGAGCGUAAAACGCUGUUAUUAGGGAAGCGGUACCUAAUCAGAAAGCCACGGCUAACUACGUGCCAGCAGCCGCGGUAAUUC
rnacentral:rRNA from 1 species